rnacentral:piRNA from 1 species
AGUCAAGGAUGGGAAGAAACAGGGUUUUG